GGAACAUAUCAGCUUCUGCACAUUUAAGUCUAACGAUUUUCUCCAGUUCUUCGAUUUGUAGCUUCUUUCUCUGUCUGUCGAGCUUUAUCUCAGCUGCUUCCUUGGCCUUAUCUUCAACCUCACGGUUGAAGGCCUCAACAUCCAUGCGAGCCUUUUUCCAGCUUCUCAUCUUCUCAUUAGCAACAAUUUCCAUUUUUCUUAUAACCUCCUGCACCACUUCAGCGAUUCGAUUGCAUGCUUCCUGUGGGGCAGCUAACCUUCCUCCUUCCCCAUUUUCAAGACUACUCAUAGAGUCUGUCUCGUUCUCUUGAAAAAACAUCAAUAUUGCUCUGCAUGCUGCUGCAGACUCCAGAGCUCCACUCUUCAUUUUCUCUUUGAGUUCUUCACAUUUCCAAAAAAGUUUCCU
rnacentral:misc_RNA from 1 species